UGGGGAAUAUUGCACAAUGGGCGCAAGCCUGAUGCAGCAACGCCGCGUGAGGGAUGACGGCCUUCGGGUUGUAAACCUCUUUUAGUAGGGAAGAAGCGUAAGUGACGGUACCUGCAGAAAAAGCACCGGCUAACUACGUGCCAGCAGCCGCGGUAAUACGUAGGGUGCAAGCGUUGUCCGGAAUUAUUGGGCGUAAAGAGCUCGUAGGCGGCUUGUCGCGUCUGCCGUGAAAACCCAGGGCUCAACUCUG
rnacentral:rRNA from 1 species